rnacentral:rRNA from 1 species
GACGAACGCUGGCGGCGUGCUUAACACGUGCAAGUCGAACGGAAAGGCCCCUUUGGGGGUACUCGAGUGGCGAACGGGUGAGUAACACGUGAGUAACCUGCCCUUGACUUCGGGAUAACUUCAGGAAACUGGGGCUAAUACCGGAUAGGAAUCCUUGCUGCAUGGUGGGGGUUGGAAAGCUUCGGCGGUUUUGGAUGGACUCGCGGCUUAUCAGCUUGUUGGUGGGGUAGUGGCUUACCAAGGCUUUGACGGGUAGCCGGCCUGAGAGGGCGACCAGCCACAUUGGGACUGAGAUACGGCCCAGACUCCUACGGGAGGCAGCAGUGGGGAAUAUUGCACAAUGGGCGGAAGCCUGAUGCAGCAACGCCGCGUGCGGGAUGACGGCCUUCGGGUUGUAAACCGCUUUCAGCAGGGGCGAAGCUUGUGGUGACGGUACCUGCAGAAGAAGCACCGGCUAACUACGUG